UGAGAGUUCAUUUCCAUCGUGGCGAUUGCUGGAAGAAGACAUCGAGACGUCGUCGAACACGGACGAGCGGGCCUGACCCUUCGCUGCCUGUGGAGUACGUGCGACCUGCGAGCGUCACCUGGUGCGGAUGAAAUCACAUGGAGGCCACAAAAAUCAUAUCAAGCAAAUUGUUGAGAAUCGAAUGGCCAAGUAUCGAGUGAAAAUUGAACACUGAUUCAAUUCACCGGGAAUCGCUCUGAAAAUAAUUCAAAAAGUUCUUUCGACUACUGCUGCUCUGUACACUGACCCCUUCACCAGGAAUCGCUCUGAAUAUAAUUCAAAAAGUACUUUCAACCACUGCUGCUCUGCACGCUGACUCACUUCACCAGGAAUCUUUCCAGAAACAUGUUACCAUAUCAGUAUAAAUGCAAACAUUCCUAUAAUGUUUCUUUCUUUUUUGCAGAUCUUCUCGAUCCAACUAUUACUGCUCUGAAGCCUUAAAAUCAUUCAUAAUUAUGCAUGAUUAACUUAACUCUUAUUAACUCAAUAACAUGACUAACCUCACUAACUUAAUUAGGCAGUUAAUAUAAAAACCACUUGUUGAGUUUUACUAUGAAGGUCUUAAUGGGGUUACGUGGAAGACACCGCUGCAUGAUUAAUCAGGGUAACCAACUUCAAGCCAAGUGCUCUUCAACGCUCAAGUUGCUCAUGAGUGAGAACAAUCAUUUGAUCUACUAAUUAUGCUGUCCGUCCGUCCGUCUCUUCACCAGAGAAGAUGCCUACUAUGAUUUAUUAAAUAG